AAUCCCAUCUCGCCGAAUAUAACCGUUUUAUAGUUUCCGCUCACCGAAAAUUGUAAAAAUAAACACGAAACGUUUAUUUUAUGUGCUCGAAUAAUAGGUACCUAAAUACUACAUAGGUAUUAUUAUUUAUACUCGGUAUUAUUUCACGGAAAGGCAAAAUCCACAACCGUGAGCCAGUCGUAAGCGGAGGAAUAAUAUUGUUUACAAAUAUGUUCUAUUGACACAUUUCCGGUAAAUUUUGAAUAUCUUGUUUCAAUAACGAGUAUAUAAGUGUAAUUACACAUGA